GGUGAGAGAAGACCCAGACGCCCAUCAUCUUUGUUCUGAAGUGACUGCAGUAAGUUAACGAUGGGAAACCAAAUGCACUUACCAUCUGGUGGUGGUGACUGGGGAUGUUGGCCUCCUGGAAGAAGGAGCUUAAGGCCGUCUGCAGAGAGGGAAGAGAAGAAGAAGAAGAAGAUGAAGGGUGUCAUCAUCAUCAUGAUUUAUUCAGAGUGUAAACAACCACAGCGAGGAGCAGCUGACCCAUCCCCCCCGCUCACUGAGGACAGACCUCAUCGUGGCCCUCACACCCCGGUUCACCGCUGCUGGCAGACGCAGCUCAGUGGAGCAAUUCCAAAACUUUUGCACCUCUCAGCCCCGUGGAGCCCAAACAUGUGAGAACACGGCGAGGGUUUCCAAGAGGAGAAACUGCUCUCCUGGAAACAUCAAGGUUUGUUUGUGCUAAAAAAGAGGACUCAGUGCAGAAGUGCAGGAAGACUGCAGUUCCUGGAGAUUCCACUGGAGGCCGGCUUCAGAACCAAAGAAACCCUGUUAGGCCCUGUGUCCACGUUGGGCUUCAUAACACCUAUUCAGACAUCACUGAGACUUCAUCCAUGUGUUUUACAGCCUGAGCUUUAUAAACCACAUUAGUCUGC